GCAAAGGCACCGAUCUUACCUAUCUUAGGAAGAAAGCUAGAACUAUGAGUGAAGAAAGAAGGGAAGAUAAUUGCUCUCUUGCCGCUGCUAGUCUCUUGUUAGUAGUAAUAGCGGUAGGUGGGAACUCUUUUGAAAGAAGAGACGAUUUAGUCUCAAUCAAAGAGAAAAGAGAUUACAAAUAAGCGAAAGGGCAUGCAGUCUAUUGAUCAAAAGGGGCCAUCGGCCAUACAUGCAGGGCCGGUACACGGCCAAUCAAAACAAAAAUCAAAGUGAAAGGAAAGGGGCACACAGGCCAGGGGCUUCUUGGCGCGCAGGCCCCCCUUCACAAACUAUGGG
rnacentral:lncRNA from 1 species